GUCUCCCCAUGUCGCUCUCUCUCCCAAAUUCUGGCUGAGUCUCCAUCUGGAGCAUGGAACCCGCCAUGCUUGCUAAUUAUGCCUGGGCUUCUAAGAUCCGACCGGGGAGGCCUCAGUGUCUCCUCUCCUUCGGGAGAACGGAAGGACACCUGCGGCCUACGGGACAUCUAUGGGUCUAACGGGUCUGGUCUUGAGCCCAUUGGACUUACUGGAGUUAAACAAAAAGAUGUUCCUGCCAAAGCUGCCAAGGGUCUGAUGGAAGGGGGCCUGGCCCGGGAAGGCUCCCCGAAGUUGCUCUGAGCGAUCCUGGAUGCUGCAUGGCUUCAGUCCCUGAGGCCUCUCUGGCCACUAAGAGGAAACAAACCACUGCCAGCCUCUUUGCUCACCAUCUCCCAACAAGACUGGACUUUCUGUGCCAUCAGAGAAAGAACAAGGACCAAUGAGAGGAAGCCACAAAACGUCAGAUUAUGUGUGGACCUGAGAAGCACCUUCUCCUGGCUGAGUGGUUCAAUGAAGAAAGGGGUGCCGCUGGCCGGGAGCGGGAUCUUGGCUUCAAGGUGCAAGUAGGGCCUUCCCUGGUGGCCCAGUGGUCAGGAGUCCACUGGACAAUGCAGCGGACACAGGUUCAGUCCCUGGACUGGGAAGAUCCCAGACACUGUGGAGCAACUAAGCCAUGGGACACAGCUACUGAGCCCAAGCACUGCAAGGACUGAAGCCUGAGCACCUAGAGCCUGUGCUCUGCAACAAGAGGAGUCACCAUAAUAAGAAGCCCAUGCACUGCAAUGAAGAAACCCCGCAUGUUACAACUAGAGAAAGCCCGCACAAAGCAACAAAGACCC
ensembl:lncRNA